UCUGUAAUUGAUCCUACCCCUCAGUGUGAAUAGAAAAUGCCAUGUUUGCAGCUGGCAUUGUGCUCUUACUGUGGACAGUGCAAAUAGAAAACGGAGGUAACAACAGUGUUUUUAGCAUGAAGAUAUGCUUCUAUGUGGAUAAGCCCCUUAGUCAGCAAAUGCUGAGAAGCAGCAUUCCCUCUUUUGGAAGAUAAACCUUCAUGUGCUUCACAGCCUGUCUUGCACCCAUUCAAAUAGCCUGGUACCCCCAGGUGCCAUGGAGGAUGCUCUAUCCUAUUGCCACUGUUGAAGAACAUGAAGACUAACUGAAAAUAUAUCCCAUGCUAAAAGUGCCAGCAUCAUUUGAUGAACCACUGAUGUUGAAUGGGUCUUAAGAUCAUCAUUAGUGCUUACAAUCAUGUCUCCGUAGAAUUGAAGGCAUUGUUAUAAAUACGUCUGGAUACUCUCUGGUGAACAAUGUCCGGAGGUCUGUGUGGCUAACCAUAUCAAAUGCCCUGGCUAGCUUCAAAACAUAAUAGAAAAAAGACUGGUACUGUUCAUGACAUUCUUCCUGUAAUUCUUGCAUAAACUCAAGUGUAUGAAGUAAAUGUAGAGUUAGUCAGAGUCUAUGAA